rnacentral:rRNA from 1 species
GACGUAGGGCGCGAGCGUUGUCCGGAUUUAUUGGGCGUAAAGAGCUCGUAGGCGGCUUGUCGCGUCGACUGUGAAAACCCGCGGCUUAACUGCGGGACUGCAGUCGAUACGGGCAGGCUAGAGUUCGGUAGGGGAGACUGGAAUUCCUGGUGUAGCGGUGAAAUGCGCAGAUAUCAGGAGGAACACCGGUGGCGAAGGCGGGUCUCUGGGCCGACACGUGACGCUGAGGAGCGAAAGCGUGGGGAGCGAACAGG